CUCAGGAAUGUUUCCAUUCACACUGUCAAGAUACCUCAGAAUCGGUGGUGUGGUGAGCCCGACCAUCUUCCAUAAUUAUUCACAAAUUAAUAAAAUAAAUUGGACAUUGGGGGUGUUCGGUGGAACGGGUAACAUAAGAGCUUGUUUUGGAGGUCUUAAAAGGUUGACUGUAGCCCAAACUUUA